rnacentral:misc_RNA from 1 species
UCCGAGUUGACCCCGGCAGUCUCCCAUGAGUCCCCACCACUACGUGCUGGCAACAUGGAAUAAGGGUUGCGCUCGUUGCGGUACUUAACCCAACAUCUCACGACACGAGCUGACGACAGCCAUGCACCACCUGUCGCCCAGUCCGAAGAGGCACCCAUCUCUGAGUGUUUCCGAGUGAUGUCAAACCCAGGUAAGGUUCUUCGCGUUGCAUCGAAUUAAUCCGCAUGCUCCGCCGCUUGUGCGGGCCCCUGUCAAUUCCUUUGAGUUUUAGCCUUGCGGCCGUACUCCCCAGGCGGGGCACUUAAUGCGUUAGCUACGGCGCGGAAAACGUGGAAUGUCCCCCACACCUAGUGCCCAACGUUUACGGCAUGGACUAC